AAUGAACGCUGGCGGCAGGCCUAACACAUGCAAGUCGAACGGAUCCUUCGGGAUUAGUGGCGGACGGGUGAGUAACGCGUGGGAACAUACCCUUUGGUACGGAAUAGCCUCGGGAAACUGGGAGUAAUACCGUAUGUGGUCGAGAGACGAAAGAUUUAUCGCCAAAGGAUUGGCCCGCGUUGGAUUAGGUAGUUGGUGGGGUAAUGGCCUACCAAGCCGACGACCCAUAGCUGGUUUGAGAGGAUGAUCAGCCACACUGGGACUGAGACACGGCCCAGACUCCUACGGGAGGCAGCAGUGGGGAAUCUUAGACAAUGGGGGAAACCCUGAUCUAGCCAUGCCGCGCGAUCGAUGAAGGCCUUAGGGUUGUAAAGAUCUUUCAGGUGGGAAGAUAAUGACUGUACCACCAGAAGAAGCCCCGGCUAACUCCGUGCCAGCCGCCGCCGUAAUAC
rnacentral:rRNA from 1 species